GACGAACGCUGGCGGCGUGCUUAACACAUGCAAGUCGAACGGAAAGGCCCUGCUUUUGUGGGGUGCUCGAGUGGCGAACGGGUGAGUAACACGUGAGUAACCUGCCCUUGACUUUGGGAUAACUUCAGGAAACUGGGGCUAAUACCGGAUAGGAGCUCCUGCUGCAUGGUGGGGGUUGGAAAGUUUCGGCGGUUGGGGAUGGACUCGCGGCUUAUCAGCUUGUUGGUGGGGUAGUGGCUUACCAAGGCUUUGACGGGUAGCCGGCCUGAGAGGGUGACCGGCCACAUUGGGACUGAGAUACGGCCCAGACUCCUACGGGGGGCAGCAGUGGGGAAUAUUGCACAAUGGGCGGAAGCCUGAUGCAGCAACGCCGCGUGCGGGAUGACGGCCUUCGGGUUGUAAACCGCUUUCGCCUGUGACGAAGCGUGGGUGACGGUAAUGGGUAGAGAAGCACCGGCUAACUACGUG
rnacentral:rRNA from 1 species